UGAGGGAUAUUGGUCAAUGGGCGCAAGCCUGAACCAGCGACGCCGCGUGGGUGAAGAAGGUCUUCGGAUCGUAAAGCCCUUUUCCCACUGAAGAGGAAGGACGGUAGGUGGGGAAGAAGUCUCGGCUAACUACGUGCCAGCAGCCGCGGUAAAACGUAGGAGACAAGCGUUAUCCGGAGUUACUGGGCGUAAAGGGCGUGCAGGUGGCGUCUUAAGUCUGUUGUGAAAGCGCCUGGCUUAACCGGGCGAGGCCAAUGGAGACUGAGAGGCUGGAGGACGGCGGAGGGGUGUGGGAUUCCGGUUGUAGUGGUGAAAUGCGUAGAGAUCCGGAGGAACACCAGAGGCGAAGGCGGCACUCUAAGCCGUACCUGACACUGAGACGCGACAGCACGGGGAGCAAACG
rnacentral:rRNA from 1 species